rnacentral:tRNA from 1 species
GGAGAGGUGGCCGAGUGGUUGAAGGCGCCGCUCUCGAAAAGCGGUAUGCGGGUGACCGUAUCGCGGGUUCGAAUCCCGCCCUCUCCGCCA